UGUAGCGGGACCUGGGUAACCUGGCUUGUUAUCCCCUUUGGUUAGAGUAGGUCAGACCCAUUUCCCCAGUAACAGGACGGGACACAGUUCUAGGAUACAACAUUUGACAAUGUUUAUUGGGCAUACAGCUUUUUAUGCACAGACCCCCACAGGGGGUCUCCAUCCAGCACAGCACACACACACAUACAGGAGGGGGGCUGGGGAACUGAUAACCAUCUCCUGCUCUGGGAGAUAUUGACAGGACACAGGGACACGCAUGAGUACACUUCACAUACAGGGGGGUAAACUUUGGGGCUCGGCGCUUCUGGACGGGAAGGGGGUACAGGGUUACUUUUAUAUGGGGGAAUAGCCCUGGGUCCCAUCUGGGACCCCUGCAAAAAGUGGGGUGAUCAGAUGUACAGAGCCAGAGAUAUCAGCGUCGGAAGUCUGGGGCUCAAGGCUCUGUACAUCCCUGGAAUCCGUUCCAUGGUGUUGCUUGGUUUAGUCCGGUGAAUUCAAAUUUUGCACCUAAACCAAGCAAUGACCAAUCAGCCGAACUUGCGUGAACCAAAUCAGCGUUAAGGGGAGGAAGGAGUUUCGCCGCCCAAUUAGAAGAUAGGGCGCGAAACCCGUUGUCAC